rnacentral:rRNA from 1 species
ACGGGAGGCAGCAGUGGGGAAUAUUGCACAAUGGGGGAAACCCUGAUGCAGCGACGCCGCGUGAGUGAAGAAGUAUCUCGGUAUGUAAAGCUCUAUCAGCAGGGAAGAAAAUGACGGUACCUGACUAAGAAGCCCCGGCUAACUACGUGCCAGCAGCCGCGGUAGUACGUAGGGGGCAAGCGUUAUCCGGAUUUACUGGGUGUAAAGGGAGCGUAGACGGCGAUGCAAGUCUGAAGUGAAAGGCGGGGGCUCAACCCUUGGACUGCUUUGGAAACUGUAUUGCUAGAGUGCAGGAGAGGUAAGUGGAAUUCCUAGUGUAGCGGUGAAAUGCUUAGAUAUUAGGAGGAACACCAGUGGCGAAGGCGGCUUACUGGACUGUAACUGACGUUGAGGCUCGAAAGCGUGGGGAGCAAACAGGAUUAGAUACCCUGGUA